GGUUGGAUUUGGCAAAGGUGGACAUGAGCAAAUGACCAGAGGUUUUCCCUGUGAAACCCCGUACCAGCAUCUGCUUCCCGGAGAACACAAGAAGCCUCGCUACUCGUCAUCCCAUCCCUAGGGCCGUAUGCGUGGGACACAUAUGUGUCCGGAAGGGGAGCAGAUGACAUACGCUGGGGAAAAAGGGCUCAGAGGGCAAGAAAUGCCUGAGCACCAGCUCCGUGCUGGGCACUGCGCCAGGCCCUCUGUGUCUGAGAUUUCCUUAAUCUUCAUAAUGAAACUGAUGUUGGUUUCACCACCUCCAUUUACUGUUAAAGACACUGACGGCUCAGAAAGGUUAAGAAACUUGCCUGAGGGCUUCGAACCCAUCCAGGGAUGCCAAACAACAAAAACAAAACCACAGACAAACAAAAAAGAAACUUGCCCGAGGGCACCUGACUGCUAAGGGGUGGAACCAGGAUUUGAACCUAGAGUGUUUGACUCCAGUGUUUGGGCUCUUUGGGCUGCUGGGCCGAGGGUGAGGCAGCACCGUGGGCCCCGUUCCCUUCUGGAAACCCCGCAAGCCAAGCAUCUUCAUCAAUACUCAGUAAUGCUGUCAGACCUAUCAGAGCCCAGAGUCAUUCGGAGUGGCGUGCAGGAGAGAGACCUUAGAAUCCUUCAUUUCACUCUAGAAACGCCUUCUGAAUCUCCUGCUGAGAUCCACCCCUUUCCCCACAUUCAGCUUCAGACAAAGGGCUAAGCCUAAUAAAGGUAAACACCAUCGUAAUUAUAAUGAAGUAAUAAUAAUACAAAGUUAGCUCACGUGAUGAGCGCUCUCGUGACACGUACUUUUUCAUCCACACACAUCCAUGUGUUUUCUUGCUUUAAUAUUUGUUCUUCCAUCUGCCUUGCGAAGAACUUUCUUCCCUUGUGAACGUUCCUGCCUGUCUGUCCUCCUGCUGACCCUGAAUUUCAAGGAGGGGGCAGAUGCUCAGCUGCUGCUCAGCCCUCUGGCUACACUUUGAGCCUCAGAGAGACAAGCAGGUACAUGAUUUUCUGCCAUGUUACAAAUAGGGAAACAUGAAGGAGUAAGUUGGGUUGUGCGCAUUAAGGGAGUAUGGCUAUAUGGGGCCUGACUGUCUUCCUGUGCUUUGGCUCAAAGGAAAUUAUAAAACGUUAUUAAGCGUCUGUUAUCUCUGUCUCGUGGGAAUUUCAUUUAGCCCCUUGAUAUAUCAAUGCUAGAUCUGGCCUGCAAGAAGACUGUUUAGUACCACUUAUUGAUGAUUUACUCUGUACCAGGCACUGUGAUGGGUACUUCGCAGGCAACUAUACUUUCAUGGCUUUCGAGCCAUGAUGGUCCCAUUUUACUUAGGAGCAAACAGAUUCAGAGAGGUUAAGCAGCUGGCUUAAGAUCACACAGCUAGGCAGAAUUAGGUUUCAAACCUAACUCUUUCUGACUCCAAAGCUUAUUCUGUGCACCAUGCUAUAUAGCUUUGGGAAGAAAUGGGCUUAGGAGGCCCUGAAACUGAAUGUUUUAAAAUAGAUAUUAAAACUAUUUGAUAUUUGUUGUAUCCUCAAGACAAUUUAGUGAGAUAGAUGGCAAUAUUUUCCAUCUUAACACAUCCUUCCCUUUUUACGCCUCUUUUUCCUCCCAACCACCCCUUUCAAGGCCAAAGCUCUAAAAUAAAACUAGCCCACACUUCCUCACAUCCCAUCCUUUCCUCCACGUACUUCCCCGGGGCUCCAUGCCCACCUCGUCACAGAACCUGCUCUUGUCAUCAUCCCCAGUGACCUCCGUGUUGCCAGAUCCACUGGACUCUCUCCCCUCCCAAUCUUUUUCAGAUUCUUUAGGAAUAUUUGACCCAGUUGAUCCCUCCUUCUUGAAAGAAUGUCCUCCUUUGGUUUGGGGAACAUCACACACUCUCAGUGUUUUCCUUUCCCCUCUCUGGCCACCACGCAGGCCCCUUCCCGGGUUCUUUCUAUUACCAGCUGUGUAUGCAAUACUCCGUCCUUCCUUCUUCCUGACAAAUACAAGCCCAGCGUUGUUCAGGUCAGCAAGCUGCCCAGCUAAGAAGACUUCCUUUUCUGGACUCACUUGGAGUUGGGAGGAUGUGUGCUCUGGACAAUGAAGAAGCUGGCUGCGUAAAGGCUUCCAGGACAGCUUUCAUUUCUCGAUUGAAAGGAGAGGGCUUGCCCUGUGUCCCUCCUGCUUCCUACCUGGAUUGUGGUCCUGCACCCAAAGGUACAGCUGCCAUCUUGUGACCAUGAAGCCACAAGCUCGAGGAUAGAGACCUACGUGCCAAAAACCGCAGAAGAGGAAGAUAGAAGAACUUGGGUCCCCGAGAUGUUAUGGAUCGGCUGCACCAUCCUUGGGCUGCCAAGGUCCAGAGUUCACGUUAUGUGACAAGAAUACACCCUCACCUAAACACCCAACAAGAAUUUUCUGUUAUUUGCCAUCAAAUAAAAACAUUCUGAACUGA